rnacentral:lncRNA from 1 species
AUAUAUAUAUUCGUAGGGGGUAGGGUUGGGAGGUGGUAAUCGUUCAAUUCAAAAGUGGUACUCGUCUGGAAACGUUUGAAAACCGAGAGUAUAAUUAAGUGCUAUGGUCUAGAUAUUGGUAUGUCUAUCUUGCUAGUGUUGUGUGAUUGGAUUUUGUUGUUGUUGUUCGUUUCUGCAUUUUUGUAUUUUCAAAAUUGUAAUUAUAAGUACAUCAUCUAUAUACUUGUCUUAAAAGAUAUGGAGCUACCAAAGAUGGUUUAAUAUUAUCAUUUAGAACGUUAAAUUAACUGUUUAGGAAAAUUUUGUCUAUGCCUCGAUACUUUUCUCAUUUGACAUUUAUACAUAUAAAUUUGUGUACCAUAUGCAAAAAGAACAAAUUGGGAAUUCCAAGUUAAUUGUACGUAUAGCUAGGUACGGAGUUUUGGCCGGUGUCGAUCUGACUCGGGACAGUUUUCCUGUGAAGCUACAGGUCUGACAAACAGGUCUAAGAGGUCCUUAAUGGCAUAAUGGCGCAGUCGAUCAAGUUUUGGGUCGAAAUACCAGUGAUCUUUGAAGCUCGCAAGAGCAGGACCCAGGUGGACUCGGCAUAUGAGGAAAAUAAAAAUACACAGAACUUAAGUCUGCGAGCAAACUUUGGUUGUGGACUUCACACACCUGUACACACCAACUACGUGUACGCACUGAAAGCAGUGGGAAGUGUGUGAGCUGGGCAUAAGUAAUGGUGACAAAGGUGAGAGAAAUUGGUUUUCUCUGUACAUUUCACAUUGUCCCAGGACAAGGAGAAAGAAUUAAAAAGACUGUAAAAUCUUUCUACCAGAUUUUACUGCAAUAAGAUUAUCACCUUACUGCAAUUUGCUCUUUCGUAAGAUUACCGCCUUACUAUAUUAUGCUCUUUUAUAAGGCGGGGGAGAUGAGAGGAUAAAUGUUAAACACCUAGAGCGGACUGACCAAAGGGCGAUAAGCGGAGUUGUGUGCAUAAGCCGCACCAAUGCAAGUGGUUAUCUACCCUGCGCCGCGCUGGGCAUCUAAACAUGGGAAAGGAUAAAGUAAAGGAUUUUUUUUUUUUUUUUUCCUAAUUUCCAUGCCCUUACUACACUCCCUAGUUGCAAGGAUGAAGACUUCGUCCAUUCUUCUUUUCCCUCUUUCGCUGUUCUCGUCCACAUCUCCGUGACUGUCCUUCAGCUUCUCAUUGUAUAUUUAUUUAAGAACAUUUACAGCUAUAGUCGGAGACACAUCCGUUUCAUAUUUUAAUAAACAAAAAAACGACACAUUUAAAGAACAGUUCAGAAAAAGACUAUUUAAUUUUUGAAGGUUUUAUUUAAACUACUUUGAAACAUUGUAACAGCAGACAUGCUUUAAAUACUGUUUGUAAGUUCUGUAAUAAGCAAAUAAACUUGUUUACAAAGUGAGCAUUGUCAGAAUAUAAAAAUAAUGGCAUGCAAAUUUUCUGAAUCCUUCUACAUUAGCAUUUUAAAUUUUGUAUUUUGUAACGGCUUUUCUAAUACUUAUAAGAGCAACUCAUCAUAAGGGAUGUAAGCUAGUAAUAAUCUAAUUUCACGUAAAAAUUUGUAAAACUAACAAUAGGGCAACAAUUGGAAAUCUAAACAAAUAAUAAAGAUAAGUAAAAAAAAAAAUGUAUAUUUUUUUAAUUGAG